AGUGGUGAUAGAGGUGCGAACUUCAAGAGUACAGGUAAAGAGGAGUAUGGGCUCCAUUGACAUGCCUGGAAAGGGGAGAAUCGCCGAAGUGGUUAUAGUCUCAUGCUAUAUCCGCUGGUCCUGCGUUUAAGAAAUGCAGGAUUGUCAAGAUGAUUCAAUCUUGGAGAGCUAUCUCACAA
rfam:Bacillus vietnamensis strain TCD-SED5 scaffold_1, whole genome shotgun sequence.